UCAUCUUCUUAGUUACGGAAUCGUUUGUAUGUUACAGAUUUAGACUGUGUACUUGUACCUUCCAGAUGGGCUGGGGUGGGGACAUGGCUCCCCACUCUCAUUCCCCCUGGCCUUGCGUGAGGCGCAUGUGAAUGUGCCCUCGUGCGGGACGUUGAAGUAUCCUCCUCGUUGCAGAAGUGGAUGCAUCCGUUCAGAAGUGUGUUUGCAGAGCGCGAUGGUGGCUUUGGGGUCUCGUCUGGAGCCUUUUCUUGCACUGCAGGUUAGUGUGGUCACGAACACAGAGCGACCUUAAAAAUGAGCAAAUCCCAGGCCGUCCCCUACAGGCUGGGUGGCUGUGGGUAGAUGCCGUAAGGCCCUUGGGAGCCCCAGUUUUCUCAUCUGUAAACUGCAGAUAGAACCCGAAGGGAAAAUUAAUGAGUUAAUGGAAGUGUGCAGUAAGUGUUUCUUCCUUCAGGUGUCCGUUUUCAUCUGCUCAGUGAGGAAGAAUCUAUCUGCUCAUGUGGUUGGGUGGUUGUAAAUAUAAACAUAUAAAAAUGGCUUUUGAUGAACAGGAAGAUGGUACUUCUGCGUGCACAUGCCUGUGUGCCUGUCCCGAGGGUCCCGACUGGCCGGUGCGGCCAGGAUAGAGCGACAGGCACUGCCCCCCCCCCCCCCCCCCCCCCCCCCCGCCCCAGUCCCUUCUCAGUACUGCAUGCCGAACGCAAGAACCACGAUUCUUGGCAACAUAACGGCCAGGAGUGGUGUAGUUGGGGGAGGUGUGCGGUGAGUGGUUGGGUUCAUCACUAUUGGGCGGGGGGCUUGUAAAACGUUCCUUACUUUGCACUGAGGUUCAUUAAGAGUAACAGAUCAGUAACUCUUCAGAGACCUAGAAUCUGUCGUUCUAUUCAUAUGAGUAAGUCACGGAUGUGAAUGGUGGUGGUUUCUGGAGAAGAGUGAUCAGGAUGAACCGAAAUGGUCACCUACGAUGCUGACAUCUCUCUUUUUAAUGCCAGCGGACACUCCUUUCUGAACCGUAUUCAAGUCCUGUGAUCUUUAAUUUGGGCUGGGGAGUGGGGCAGAGAGGAGGAUUGCCGGAACGAUGAGGAGAGAGCAUCCGCACUGCCUGCUGCCCACAGCCCUGGUUGUUCAGGGUCCACGCGGAUCGCUCACGGGCGCGCUCCCCACAAGGCGCCCUCAAGGGAAGCUCAGGUGAGGCUUGCUCGGGAGCCUGCAGCAACAGGAGGCGCUGUCGCCUGUCGUACCUUCCGCAGGGCGUGGCGUCUUAAUGUCAUUACCCGACUUCAGAGUGUCUGGGUGCUGGGUGUCUGAGCUGCGGGCCACCACCCCUCACGUGAAAUCCGGUCGCCACAAACGUUUUUGAGUGUGAAAAGCACCAGUGGCGCCGAUCUGGUGACCUAUUUAAGGAACCCUCUGAUGUUGCUGAAAUCUACUGUUUAUGGCCACAAACGGGAGCCUCGCGGUAUUCUCUGCAGGUUACGUUUUGCCUAGUGAAGACCCACGACACGGUCACCCCAUUACUGAUUUGGGAAAGGAAAGGAGGGAGGCGAAGGGCACAUCAUUCUGAGUGUCGUUGACAUGGCUCGCGAGAGACAGUCCCCUUCAACCCGGACUGCAUCCUGGAAGAGGAGCUCCUGCGACUGAGCCCAGGGAGGGGGACCGUGCCGCACCUGACACUGCCUGGACACGUUUACAGUUGUCAUUUCAUACCGUCCUUGGAACAGGCCGAGGAAGAGCCCCUGGAGUUUGGGCCCCACGGGGUCCGGCCCUGGUGAGGGCUGGGUUUAAGCAGCUUGGCUUUUCCUACAAAACUGCCCGCCCGAGGCUGGGAAUGCAGGGCUCCUGGGCCUCACCGCUGGAACCAUCCAGAAGACUGGAAACCCAGUGACCAGAGAUGGCUCAGCCUCCCAGGGAUGGAAGUGAUCCGAAAGAACCAGGUUCCCCACCUCAGCAGCCCCACAUCUCAAGUCCCGGGUGUGGCUCUGGGCACGGAGCGGCAGCUGGGGUCCCUCCCACCGCGGGCUUCUGGGGGCGUCUUGCACUCGGCUCCCCACGUGGCUCUCCCGACGCUCAUCCCCCUUGUCCGUUCAGAAGUCUGCGGGAACCUGUUUCCUGCUGUGCCCGUUGGGGAGCUGAGGGUCUGAGUCCCUGCUGGAAAGGAAACCACAGGACAUGUGGGCCGUGGCGCAGGAAGAUGCUAGGCGAGGGAUCUUUGCGGGCGUUCAGUUAAGCGUAACGGACCAGAAGUCUGAGAGCUGGCGGCAGAACUGCGCCCUAGACGCAAAACGGCAUUUGACAGCAUCUUCCUGGAAUGUCAAGUCCUCUGGACGAGCCUGGUGAGGCCCGGCCAGGAGCUGCUGAAAUGCCAGGGCGGCCGUCCCAGGGCACGUCCGCCCGCCACCCUGAGUCAGAAUCCAGACAGCGCUACCCGCUAGGCCUGGCCCGUAGACCCGGUGGCGGACGCAAGGUGCCAGCCGGCCCGGCCGAGACGAGCUCCGUCCAGGCUGGUUUCUAGGCUCAUCCCGGAAGAGGCUGCGUUCCUCCGUCCACCCCAGAAUGCCUCCAACUUCAGGAGAUGCGGGGCCUGGGCAAGGCCCCAGAAUUGGCGGGCACGCUGGCCUACCCUGUCCCUGAGCUGCUGGCCUGCGGUGGGGUCCGUGGGCGCCUCCGAGGCCUUCUCACCCCCCGGACUCUUGAGUUCCACGCGAUGGUUUUGCUCUGCGAGUGCGCCGAACGGUGGGGGUCUCCACUGGGGCAAAUGCGGGCCUUUGAUGUUUGUAACAAAACAACCUGUCUCUUCGGUUGCCAUGUGGCUGCCAGACUGAGCAUUGCUGGCGAUUACUCAGAAAUUCCGCUGCCUGUUCUAAACGGCCAGAGUGCUGGAUUUAAACCACAUAUUAAUAACUUGGCUGUCUGCUCAAUCUCAUAAUAUUAAAUGUGAGGUUGUUCAUGUAUUCGUGUCUACACAUUGUGAAACCGUUAUUAAACAUGACCCACACCAAAA